rnacentral:rRNA from 1 species
CGAGCGUCGUCGAUGGAUCCAGCUAUAUUCCGGCUUUAGUGCGGCUUGUGGCGGAGAGCUCCGAGCUCGUCGUAAUCCUGGUGAUAUGAGUUUCCUGAUGGGCUAAUCUGAAUGUUGAAGGAAUUGACGGAUGGGCGCCACCUUCAGUGGAGCCUGCGGGUUAAUUUGCUUUACACGGGAAAAUUCACCCGGCCCGGACCCGUGAUGAUUGACUGAUUGAUAACUUUUUCAUGAUUCGGUGGAUGGUGGUGCAUGGCCGUUCUUAGUUCGUGGAGCGAUUUGUCUGGUUUAUUCCGAUAACGAGCGAGACUCUGGCCUACUAAAUAGUUGGUGCAUUGCCUCUGUGCACACGACUUCUUAGAGGGAUUUUCGGUGUUCAGCCGCACGAAAUUGAGCAAUAACAGGUCUGUGAUGCCCUUAGAUGUCCGGGGCUGCACGCGCGCUACACUGGCAAAAUCAGCGUGCUUGUCCUCGUCCGAAAGGACUUGGUAAACCCGUGAAAAUUUGCCGUGAUUGGGAUCGGACAUUGCAAUUAUUGUCCGUGAACGAGGAAUUCCUUGUAGGGGCGAGUCAUCAACUCGCUCUGAAUACGUCCCCGCCCUUUGUACACACCGCCCGUCGCUGCCCGGGACUGAGCCAUUUCGAGAAACUCGGGGACGAACAACGCCAAGCUUACGCAUGUAGGCUUUGUGUCGUCUGAAACCGAUUUAAUCGCAGUGGCUUGAACCGGGCAAAAGUCGUAACAAGGUAGCUGUAGGUGACCUGCGGAGGAUCA